rnacentral:rRNA from 1 species
UACAGAGGGUGCGAGCGUUAAUCGGAAUUACUGGGCGUAAAGCGUGCGUAGACGGUUUCGUAAGUCGGGUGUGAAAGCCCCGGGCUCAACCUGGGAAUUGCAUUCGAGACUGCGUAGCUAGGGUGCGGAAGAGGGAAGCGGAAUUUCCGGUGUAGCGGUGAAAUGUGUAGAGAUCGGGAGGAACACCGGUGGCGAAGGCGGGUCUCUGGGCAAUUCCUGACGCUGAGGCGCGAAAGCGUGGGGAGCAAACGGG